AGUGAACGCUGGCGGCAGGCCUAAUACAUGCAAGUCGAACGGCAGCACAGCAGAGCUUGCUCUGUGGGUGGCGAGUGGCGGACGGGUGAGGAAUACAUGGGAAUCUGCCCAGUCGUGGGGGAUAACGUAUGGAAACGUACGCUAAUACCGCAUGCGCCCUAAGGGGGAAAGCCGGGGACCGCAAGGCCUGGCGCGAUUGGAUGAGCCCAUGUUCGAUUAGCUAGUUGGCGGGGUAAAGGCCCACCAAGGCGACGAUCGAUAGCUGGUCUGAGAGGAUGAUCAGCCACACUGGAACUGAGACACGGCCCAGACUCCUACGGGAGGCAGCAGUGGGGAAUAUUGGACAAUGGGGGGAACCCUGAUCCAGCAAUGCCGCGUGUGUGAAGAAGGCCUGAGGGUUGUAAAGCACUUUCAGUGGGGAGGAGGUUUAUUUGGUUAAGAGCUGAGUAGAUGGAC
rnacentral:rRNA from 1 species